GCGGUACUCUGACCGUGCAAAGGUAGCAUAAUCAUUUGCCUUAUAAUUGAAGGCUAGUAUGAAUGGUUUGACGAGAAUUAAGCUGUCUCUUCUCAAUUAAAUAUAAUUUUAUUAACAGGUGAAGAAGCCUGUGUAUUAUUGAAAGACAAGAAGACCCUAUCGAGCUUUAAAGAAUUCAAUAGAUUUAUUAUAUAUUUAUAUAAAUAUAAAACUAUUGAAAACUUUGGUUGGGGCGACUGAGGAACAAAAAAAGCUUCCUUUAUAUCUUUAGAACCCACAAGUAUUGAUCCAAUAAAUUUGAUUAAAGGAAUUAGUUACCGUAGGGAUAACAGCAUAAUCUUCUUUGAGAGUUCUUAUCGAAAAGGAGGUUUGUGACCUCGAUGUUGGACCAGAAUACCCAGAAGAUGUAGCCGUCUUCAAUGGUUGGUCUGUUCGACCAUUAAAAUUCU
rnacentral:rRNA from 1 species